rnacentral:ribozyme from 1 species
CAAGAGAGAGAGAGAGAGAGAGAGAGAGUAAAGAGAAAACAAGGUGGACAUGCCUUGAUGUGCAGGAGCCAAGGUUUCUUCUUUUUCUUGUACAAAUACACUCUUCUUAUUGGUGUUAGUUUUAG